rnacentral:rRNA from 1 species
GUGACCUCGGAUCGGUAGGACCCAAGU